rnacentral:ncRNA from 1 species
CAAGUCCACUGCGAUGAAGGAAUAGCGGGCCACAUCGGCCCCGAGCCGUGCGCAGGCCGCCGCGAGGCGGUCGGCGAAGCGUCGGUAGGGGAGCGUGCGGGCCAGCCAUUGAGCCGCGAUAGUUGUGUUAUUCCGGGUGCCGACGCGGUUCAGAACGCGGAAGGCAACAUGAAGGGGCGCGCAAGCGCGAGCGCCUCGACGACCCGGCGUGGUCAGAGACCC